UAAGCGGAACCACAGGCCUCUGCAAGGUCUUUUCCGGAUGCCUGGAGCGCAGGGAUAGCAGUUUCCCCACUCAGGUUAGAAGGCAGGCAGCAAGAUGAGCUUCGCUCCCGCAUUUCUGAGCGCGGCGGAAGUGCAGGACCACCUCCGCUGCUCCAGCCUCCUCAUUCCGCCUCUGGAGGUGGCUCUAGCCAACUUCUCCAGUGGACCCGAAGGAGGGGUCACUCAGCCGGUCCGCACUGUGGUGCCGGUGGCUAAGCACAGAGGUUUCCUGGGGGUCAUGCCUGCCUACAGUGCUGCAGAGGAUGCUUUGACCACCAAGUUGGUCACCUUCUAUGAGGGUCGCAGCACCACCUCCACUGUUCCCUCCCACCAGGCCACUGUGCUACUCUUUGAGCCACGCAAUGGCUCCCUUCUGGCGGUCAUGGAUGGAAAUAUCAUAACUGCAAAGAGAACAGCUGCAGUGUCUGCCAUUGCCACCAAGUUUUUGAAACCACCCAAUAGUGAAGUGUUGUGCAUCCUUGGGGCUGGGGUCCAGGCGUACACUCAUUAUGAGGUCUUCACAGAGCAGUUCUCCUAUGAGGAGGUGAGGAUAUGGAACCGCACCAAAGAAAAUGCUGAGAAGUUUGCGGACACAGUGCAAGGAGAAGUACAGGUCUGUUCAUCAGUCCAGGAGGCUGUGACAGGUGCAGAUGUGAUCAUUACAGCCACCAUGGCAACAGAGCCCAUUUUGUUUGGUAAAUGGGUGAAGGCAGGGGCUCACAUCAAUGGGUCUGUUUGCUGUUUCUCAGCCAUCGGAGCCAGCAGACCUGACUGGAGAGAGCUGGAUGAUCAGCUGAUGAAACAGGCUGUGCUGUAUGUGGAUUCCCGGGAGGCAGCCCUUAGAGAGUCUGGAGACAUUCUCCUGUCCGGGUUCAAGGAUGCCCUCCUGCCCUGGCUGUAUAAGCCAACAGGAGCACUCAUGAGCUCCAUGGCCUGGGCCCAUGUGUGUUCAUUUCACAGGCUGAGAUCUUUGGUGAGCUGGGAGAAGUGGUAAAAGGAAUGAAGCCAGCCCAUGGUGAGAAGACCACAGUGUUCAAGUCUUUGGGAAUGGCUGUGGAAGACACUGUUGCAGCCAAGUUAGUGUAUGAUUCCUGGUCAUCUGGUAAAUAAAACGAAGCAAUGUUGUGUUGAUGUGGAUGCUGCAGCUCAAGAGGUGUUGCCUCCAGUUGUCUCAUAAUUUCUAAAUCAAAUGAGGGAACCCCAUGCCCAGUGAUCUGUAGUUUUGUGCUCAUCAUACCUUAUCUUAAAUAAUGAGAUCCACAUUUGUGUUUGUAUUUAGUGAAAUUAGGUAACCAUCCCUUCUGUUAUGCCAUAUUACAGCAGCACUUACUUUUCCAUGUAUUUCAUGGGCUUUUGUUAUUUUUGGAAAUAAAGCAAUUUUCCAUUUCUGCA